rnacentral:snRNA from 1 species
GUGCUCGCUUCGGCAGUACAUAUACUAAAAUUGGAACAAUACGGAGAAGAUUAGCAUGGCCCCUGUGCAAGGAUGACACGCAAAUUCGUGUCAUAUUAAAAAAAAUC